GCUAAUUUUGAUAAAAUGAAGAAUUUCAUGAAAUUUAAAAGUGGAAAACAUUAACAGUAAAAUAUGUAUAGGUCCAACAAAACUAUGAUAACAAUGAUAUAUGAAACUCUCCGAACUCAUUUGAAAAAUAAGACAAAAGACAACGUCUAUACUUUAGUUUUUUUUAAUCAGAAUCAUUAUCAUCCAAUUUCUCAUACAAGCCGCUAUUUACAGCUUGUUGGAUAGGAUUAGUAACUUGAAUAGUACUAUUUUUUUCCAAGCUACCAACGUCAGCCAAAUAUACUCGAGACAUAUAUAUGUAUUUUUUUAAAAAAAAAUAAAUAAACAAACAAACUUACCGUUGAAACAAAUAGAAUAAUCUUUCUGCUUCUCGCUCUUUCUCUUCUUGGCUUAACUCAAGUCUUUGAGAUUUAUUUCUAUUUGUGCACAUACUCCCAGUAAUAGGAUCGAUUGCAAGGUUAUUUUCUUCAGUAUUUUCUUGGCCCCUUGAAUUUUUCUGGAAUACUGGUGAAGCGGCUUUUGAAAGUGGGCUAGGAAAUGGCAUAGUUUCGGAAUGUUGUGAGAUACCCAUCGCAUAUCCAGCUCCAAAUAUUCGUGCAAUUUGCUGUGAAUCCCCGUCGCAUAGUUCAUUUAAAAGGGACGCGUAGUAAGUGCCAAUGGGCUCAACAAUUGGUAUAGUUAAAAGUCUCAGUAAAAGGCAACGGAAGCUUUUACCCUUUUGAAGACUCUGUUUGCGAUCAUCGUUAGUUGGAAAUAAUAGCAUAGAAAGGUUCUGUUUAAUGUUAAAAAAUGAAAGAAGAGAAAGCAGAAUUGCUAAAAUCGGUGGCAGAGUAUUUUGAUACUUUGCUGCUAUGUCAAAGCACAAAUUUAGGCCCUUUUCUAGGUAUUCUACUUCGCGGGAAAUAAGUAUGGAUUGUAAAGUUUGACAAGCAAUUUCAGAAACAUAAAUGGCUUGGUCAAGGGAGAGCAGCUGCAGAUUGAAAGAUAGUAGAGCAUUGGUAGCAUGCCAUCGAAGCGGCGAAUUAGGAUUGUUAUUUAAAGAACUGGCCCAAAUUUCAAUUACAAGUAGAAGAAUUCUGAAGGAAGAAUUAGCAAAACCAGAGAUAAAGGAACUCAUUAAUUUUUCAAAUAAACGUACUUUUGUUCGUCUUCCUCCUUUAAGUAUGAACGUUUGCUAAUUGGAAAAAGCAGCCUCAAAAUUUCAGUUAAAACCAUUUCGUUAUCUUGGCUAUUAUUAGAGGGCGAGCUAUUUAGUGUCCACAUUUUCUUCAACAUCUUUCAAUACUGGGUUAUUUCGAAUAAAAAAAAAGCGUCGAUAUAAUACUUACCUGUAUUAACUGAGUUCUAACCUGUCGCAUAUCUAAGCAAAUAUCAUCGGUUUGUGUAGAUAGGAGAAUGAAUAAAAAACGCAUGAAAACAACUCUUCUCUCCAAAUCGUCAUUCUGAUCGUGUGUUAAAAAAGUAAUGUUGAGUAAGAAGGAAGAAAAUAUAAAAAAAAUCAAAUUCAACCUCUUUGUCUGCCUUAUAGACAAAUACAAAGGUUGAAAUCAGUGAUAAAACUUUUGGGGCUCUUACUUCGAAAACAGAGGUAGUGAGUUGUUUUAAGGACUCAUUGUGUACAAUUUGUACUGAAAUACUGGGUACCUGUCUCAAGCAAUUUGCUAACAAUUUCAUCAAUUCAAGUGAAACAUCCUUUUCCCAUAAUAAACUUAUGACUCUAAGUAGAUGGCUCCAAUUCUAAUCUGUUAGCAUCUGUUUCAAUAUAAGACUUAUGCUGGGCAUUGAUCAUCAAAGAACGAAGAUAUUGAAACGGAAAGAGAUUUUGCAAUUAAACCACUAUACCUAUAUCCUAAAGUAUCAGAUUAUUGCCUCAUAAUGUCCCUGUAUCAACCUUCACUAGGCCUUUUUCAUUUAGAAUCUGUACUAAUAUAGCAUCGAUACAGUAAGAAACCUUGAUCCCACAAAUAGCCACUUACCAAAGAUUUUGCAACUACUUUUGAUGUUUCCAAUUCUCUACAAGCUUCUUUUAAUUUAAUAAUAGUAGAGAUGGGUAUGUUAAAACUUUGGUUUGCUUCGUCAUGAAAUUGUGUAGCACUUUGUGAAUAGCUUUCUAUUCCUAACCCCAAACUUUGGAUAUAAGCUUCCAAUUCCAUUCCUUUUAAGCACAUGAAAUAAUUUGUUAAUUUUAAUGAGUUUUCUUUUAUUUAAGUCUCCAUUAACAUCAAUUUAUUUGCGCUUAAGAUUAGUGUACUUAAGGUCUUACAUGACUACCUACUUCAGCGUCAAAAGUUGUAACAACGCUGACAUUCGUAAAAAUGGUAUCAGUCCUUUACACUACUGUCACCAUUACUGCACUACACUAUGCAAUUUGCUCUGCGUUUACAAGAUGCUCAUAUUUCUAAAUAUUAGUCAAGAACCUUUUAUCAACAAUUACGCAUGAAAUUUUUUAUGCUUUAUAUAACUACCCUUUAAUGAAAAAUUUUAGAAUUAUCAUAAAAUGAAGUUCCACCGAGCUGGUUCCUCAGUUCGAUUAUUUAAUGAUAAUUACAAUUAUAAGAAUACCA